CCCUUAGAUGUUCUGGGCCGCACGCGCGCUACACUGAUGCAUUCAACGAGUCCAACCUUGACCGAGAGGUCCGGGUAAUCUUUGAAACUGCAUCGUGAUGGGGCUAGAUUAUUGCAAUUAUUAAUCUUCAACGAGGAAUGCCUAGUAAGCGUGAUUCAUCAAAUCGCGUUGAUUACGUCCCUGCCCUUUGUACACACCGCCCGUCGCUCCUACCGACUGAGUGUGUUGGUGAGGAGUUUGGAUUGGCCUCGGAAGGUGGUUCGCCACCGUCCGUAGCUGAGAAGUUCUCCAAACCGCCCCACUUAGAGGAAGGAGAAGUCGUAACA
rnacentral:rRNA from 1 species